rnacentral:tRNA from 2 species
GCGAAAGUGGCGGAAUUGGUAGACGCACCAGAUUUAGGUUCUGGCGCCGCAAGGCAUGGGGGUUCGAGUCCCUCCUUUCGCACCA